rnacentral:lncRNA from 1 species
GGCCUGCAGAAAUUUAAGAAGAAAUCACUUAUCUCUGACUAAACAGCCGUUUGAGAUCACAGAAAAUUUUAUUGUAGAAACACCAGAAAUGGCAAGCCCUUCGAGGUACAACCUUCAACCAAGAAAUGCUGAAGUCACAGCACUCCGCGAGGGACCCGUACUGGACCCGUCCGAUGCCCCAAGAGAAUCAUGGACUUGGAGUUUGCAUUAGGACUCAGCAAGGAAGAGAAGGCGACUCCAGAUCUUGGAAGCAACAUCACCCUCCCCCUCUCCGGGCCUGCUAGUUGGCUGAUAGUUUCCCCUUCCUUCCGCUCCAGAGCGGCUCAAACACCUUGUGAAAGGCCUGAAAGGAAGGGUCAAAUUCUCACCAAGUGCUCAGUCAGAGAGAACAGGAGGCAGAGAGACUCUGAGAGCCCAGUAAAGGGCACCCUGCUUCCUUUCCCGUAACAGGAUGGAACCCUCCCGAGACCCAUGCCCCAUCCUCCAACUCCUCAGGGCCGCGCACCUGGACACGGCAGCGCUGGGCUGCACGCGGCCAGCCUCCUGGACAAUUCUCAGGAGGGGCCAAGCUGCCUAAGAACAGAGCUGUUCGGAGGAGCAGGAUAGAGCAGAACCCCAUUGCUUGCCCACUGGCUUCUCCACCCACGGGUAAUUAGUGCUCCCGGGGGACAAGGGCACAUGCCCUCUCAGUACCCCCACCUUGGGCUGCUAACCCAGACAAUGAUGCUUCUUAAGACAGAGAUGCAGAGUCAGCACCAGCAUGACUUCGAGGUGUCUGAUGAGCACAGCAAAUCCAUACUCUCCAUGGACAUGAAAGGAUGAGGCUAACGGACCAACAGACAGGAAUGGGUCCCUGGCACAGGGGUUCCUCUUGCCAACCUAUUCCCCAGAAGGCCUCACUCUGUGGUCCCCUAAGGGAUGGAUUAUUGUUCACAGGGCAGCCCAGCUGCAUGAAAGGGAGCCUGGGAGUGAGAAACCUGGUGUCCUUGACUUUAACUCUCCAUUAUCCGCUUUGUAGAUACUCUCCAGUGCUAAACUGGGCCCCCGGGUGUCCCCAGGGGCAGGAGCAGGUCCAGCUGAGUGGAGUCUGCGCGCAGAGCGGUCUGGCUGUGAUUGUUACCGCCAGCCAGCGCCCUCCGAAGACAGAUGGGCUGCUUGGGGUUAUCCGCCUGCUUCCCCAGCUAGCGUGGAACGAAUCGGCAAAGCUGCUGAGACCCGUGAGGCAAAGGUGCAGCCCGCACGUGGGCCCCAGAGGCACGGCCCACCUGCACUCCUCGCCCUCCAGCAGCUUGCGGUAGGUGGCGAUCUCCACGUCCAGGGACAGCUUGGCCCCCAGCAGCGCCUGGUAGUCUCGCAGCAGCCGGGCCAGCUCCUCCUUGGCCUGGAGCAGGGCCUCCUGCAGGUCCUGCAGCUUUGGCUUCGCAUCCUGAAGGGCCCGCUCUCCUCUCUCCUCUGCAUCCGAAAUGGCCAUAUGCAUCUGCUCGAUCUGCUCGGGAGACGGUCACAGAGGAGAACCGAACGGGGGUUGAGUUUCAGGAGCCCCCGCUGGCAGGGCCUGGUGGGAGGCGGCGUGUCUGGUCAGCCCACCCUGAGCGUCCUUCUCACCUGCUUCUUGAUGUUGCUGAUCUCUGCCUGCAGCCUCUGGAUGGUGCGGUUGAGCUCAGCGAUCUCCAUCUUGCUGUUCUUCAGUUCGUCUCCUUGUCUCCCCGCCGAGAUCUGGAGCUCCUGGUACUGCGGGUCGGAGGCAGCGUCAUGGUCAGCCUGCUGCUCAGCAUGAGGCCCUCUACCUUCCCAGACGCUGCCUGAAGCUGCUGUCUCAGGGCAGUACCCGGGCACACCCCACCCCAGAGCUGUGAUACCCCCCACACACCCUCCUGCGCCAAAGGUCCCUCACUGAGCCGUGACACACACACACACACGCACGCACAUGCACACACAGUCUUGUUCAAGCCUCCCUCCUUCUCACCAGUCUCUGGGCCAGACCCACAUCCCAGACAGACAAAGCUGUUCCACCUACUUGUUCCCCCAUCAAAGCCUCCCUAGUGGCCCUUACCCACAUCGGGACCUCUUCCCUUUUGCCACCACAUCAUAUUCCUUCCUACCCUUUUCCAGGAUGGUUUCCCUAGCAGCCACAAUCUCACUUCCUCAGAGGCCCUCAGCACGCCCUUUGUUUACUCCCACUCUCCUCUCUAUGUCGUUUCUGUAUCUACAGUAGGCUCUCACGGGCAAGGCUCUGGAGGAAGCAAGGCAGCCGGGGGGGGGGGGGGGGGGGGGGGGGGGNGGGGGGGGGCGGGAGCGGGGGGGUUGCUGGUUCAAGGGAAGCUCUGCAUUCUGAUGCUUUCACUGUUGACCAUCUUCCUCCCUAGUCUGAUGCUGAAAUCCACGCCAUUCAGAACGCCUGCCUGCAGGGCGGUGGGACAGAGGUCCUCCAGGACUGGAGUUGAGAAAGCAGAUCUCAAGUGCCAGGAGUUCAGAAUGAAGGGACUGGCCUUUGAUCCUUAACUACAGUCUUCACCGUCCAAGAAGAUCCGAGUCCAUUGAUAUUAAAGAAGUAAUCAAAAAUGUGCCCAAAGAUUUAGGCACAGAGAUGUUUAUCCGAUAAAUAAGGGUAGAUUCUUAACCACAGAACACCGUUCUGCUAUUGAAAAUGAUGUCGAAUAUUUAAUGUCACAAUACGGCAUUCACAAAUAAUAAGAGAAAGAGAAAAGGACAGUACUACAGUUUAAAAGAUAUUGUCAUGAAAAGAGUAAGAAUAAAAAACAUUAUAGUGGUUUAGCACGUGGGUUUGUAGACGAGACACCUAGGUCCUGCCUCUGCUGCUUACCAGCCGUAAGACCCUGGGGAAACUGGGUGAGCUCGUACUCUCCUAUCUUCAAAAGAGGGGUAAUUAGAUCCUUACCUCACAGGGUUGUUGUAAGGAGUAAAUGAAAUUUUAUAUACAUAUAUAUGUAUAAAAUGUAUAUAGAUACGUGUGUAUAUAUAUAUAUACAUAUAUAUGUACACGUAACUUCCAAAAUAAGGGAACGAUGAUGGAAGUUCUG